ensembl:lncRNA
CCAGCAGGGCUCAGGGGGAUUAACCUUUCACAAGUAAGAUUUAACAUUACCGUCCUAUUUGUUGUGUUUUGUGAAAAGAAUAUUACCAGAGAGCAGAGAAGGAGCAAGUAUCUCACUGUAGUGAAAUGGUAGUCAGCUAGCUUGCCGAUGUUUAUUUCCCCGGCUGUUUUUCACCUGAUUAUGAACUGAGACUUGAUGAGUCAUAUUCCAUAACACUUAGAUUCAAACGGACACACUAAUGUUAUUGUAGAAAUAUAACCUAUCACUGGUAUAACAUUGGCCACACAACUUUCUUGUCAUGUGGAAUUAACGCAUGUUAAAGCAGCGUGCUAUGUAGCGAACUAGCUGCUGUGUUUGUGAUACUGAGCUCGCUGCAUUUCACUGUGUAGCAGCUUUUGUGUAGUGAAGCUUUAUUCAUGGCAGAGUAACUGUUAGCUUAGCUGAGUUCAAUGUGAAAGCAACUUGCCAACACAGUGUAUUAUUCACAUGUAAUUCAACAAAAGUAAGAUACCUCUCGUAUCUCAUAUCCCGCUUACUUACAAUAAAGGCAACAGAACAUCUGACCUUAGAAUGGUUUGCAAACAAGCUUAUUUACAAUUUCAGCAACUUUCGGUUCAUCAUCAACAAUAUUCAUCAACAUAGGAGUUUUGUUUAAGAAAGGUGAAGAAAGAAAAUAAGCUUGAACUUCUUUGUGAAAUGUUUUUGUGUAGACUCUCCCAAAUCUUCCGUUUUCAUUUUGAAGGUUUCCAAAGGACAAACAUGUGAGGAAGAAGUGGCUUUGAGGGGAGAUGGACUUACAGCAAGUGAUUCAUCAGUGCUUCGCUGUGAACACUUCAAGCAGAGGGACUUUGAUAAGACGGGUCAGAUUGUCCCACUCCGAGAUGGUGUUAUUCCAUCAGUCUUCAGCUUCCCGGUUCACCUCCAAAAAGUAGGCUAUUAGCAUUAGCAUUCAUAAAUUUACAUAUUCUAUUAUCAUCACAGGGCAGGGUGAGAUACUUAUCCCUUUUUAAUAUAUACAUAUAUAUGUAUGUAUGGUAAUAUGUCAGUGGGAAAAGGGCAGGUCUACCUCUACCUCCAGAAGACCUGAUGAAUGUCUGUCUGUGGCCUCUCAGGAUUCCCAAGAAAUGGCAACCUCACACCCACAGCCUCAGCCUAAGGAUGUGAAUAUUUCUACUUUAAACGUCAUAUAAUAAUGUUUUGGACAUAUUAGAAUCUCACUUGUUUGCUGCCACUCAUAUUACACACACACACACGUGAAGACACGUUGAACAUGCCUUCCUGACACACACACACGGUGCUGGCAGUGGCUUUGAGAGGCGAUGACUAUAAGUAGGCAUGUGGGCCAUAAACUAGUGUCAAAGUGAUGUUUGUGAAAUGAAACUUUACUCAAACCAUGUUCAUCUCUUUCAACUAGGAUCGUGGUCACGCCUGCUCCUCCUACCGCUCUUAAGACGAGACUCAACGAAGCCUUGGCAGGAGUGGGUUACAAGUGGAGAGUUACAUUCUGCACUGCAUGCAAAAAAAAACCACGUGAAAAUCAGCUGGGUGUUCAGUGAGGGAUGAUUAAUUGAAGGCGCUCACAGCUGAUUGCACCUGCAAACAGAUCAC